rnacentral:rRNA from 1 species
GAUGAACGCUGGCGGCGUGCUUAACACAUGCAAGUUGAACGGAAAGGCCCAAGCUUGCUUGGGUACUCGAGUGGCGAACGGGUGAGUAACACGUGGGUGAUCUGCCCUGCACUUCGGGAUAAGCCUGGGAAACUGGGUCUAAUACCGGAUAGGACCACUUCUUGGAUGUUGUGGUGGAAAGUUUUUUCGGUGUGGGAUGAGCUCGCGGCCUAUCAGCUUGUUGGUGGGGUAAUGGCCUACCAAGGCGUCGACGGGUAGCCGGCCUGAGAGGGUGUACGGCCACAUUGGGACUGAGAUACGGCCCAGACUCCUACGGGAGGCAGCAGUGGGGAAUAUUGCACAAUGGGCGCAAGCCUGAUGCAGCGACGCCGCGUGGGGGAUGACGGCCUUCGGGUUGUAAACUCCUUUCGCUAGGGACGAAGCGUUUUGUGACGGUACCUGGAGAAGAAGCACCGGCUAACUACGUG